ACUUAAAUAGUUUAAAAAAAAUAUUGAUUUGUGGUGUCAAAGAUAUAAAUAAUUUAUUUUAGGUC
rnacentral:tRNA from 1 species